rnacentral:rRNA from 1 species
GCCGCCGCCGGCAACGCCACCACCACGCGCCGCCUUGACCGCCGCACCAAGAUGUUCGUCCACACGGCGCGCGGCGUCAUCGGCGGCGGAGGCGACGCCGGCGUCGAGCAGGAGUCCGAGCUGGGCCUCUUCGACGCCUUCUUCGCCAGCCUCUCCAUGAUCCUCGUCAGCGAGAUUGGCGACGAGACGUUCAUCAUUGCGGCUCUCAUGGCGAUGCGGCACCCCAAGUCGACGGUGCUCUCCGGUGCGCUGUCGGCGCUGGUUGUCAUGACGGUACUAUCAACUGGGCUUGGCAGGAUCGUUCCGAACUUGAUAUCGAGGAAGCAUACUAACAGCGCAGCAACUGUCCUUUACGCGUUCUUUGGGCUGCGACUGCUUUACAUUGCUUGGAGAUCAGAUUCUAGGGCAUCACAGAACAAGGAAAUAGAAGAAGUACAGGAAAAGCUGGAAGCAGGUCAAGGGAAAUCAACAUUUAGACGUGUGUUCUCAAGGUUAUGUACUCCUAUUUUCUUGGAGUCAUUUGUGUUGACCUUCCUGGCUGAGUGGGGCGACCGAAGUCAGAUAGCCACAAUUGCGCUGGCUACGCACAAGAAUGCUGUAGGUGUUGCCAUCGGUGCAACCUUGGGGCACACCAUCUGCACGUCAUUCGCAGUGGUGGGCGGCAGUAUGCUUGCUUCGAGGAUAUCGCAAGGCACCGUAGCCACCAUUGGAGGCCUCCUGUUCCUUGGCUUCUCUGUAUCAUCAUACUUCUACCCACCAUUGUAA